GAUGAACGCUGGCGGCGUGCCUAAUACAUGCAAGUCGAGCGAACAGAUGAGGAGCUUGCUCCUCUGACGUUACCGCCGGACGGGUGCGUGACACGUGGAUAACCUCCAUCUAAGACUUGGAUCACUUCGAGAAACCGGAGCUAAUACCGGAUCAUAUAUUUCUCCGCAUGCUUCAUUAGUGACAGACGGUUUUGCUGUCACUAAUAGAUGGAUCCGCGCCUCAUUAGCUAGUUGGUAAGGUAACGGCCUACCAAGGCAACGAUGCGUAGCCGAUCUGAGAGGGUGAUCGGCCACUCUGGAACUGAGACACGGUCCAGACUCCUACGGGAGGCAGCAGUAGGGAAUCGUCCGCAAUGGGCGAAAGCCUGACGGAGCAACGCCGCGUUAGUGAUGAAGGUCUUCGGAUCGUAAAACUCUGUUAGUAGGGAAGAAGAAAUGUGUAAGGAACUAGUCACUUCUUGACGGUACCUAAUCAGAAAGCCACGGCUAACUACGUG
rnacentral:rRNA from 1 species